rnacentral:rRNA from 1 species
UACGUAGGGUGCGAGCGUUAAUCGGAAUUACUGGGCGUAAAGCGUGCGCAGGCGGUUUUGUAAGACAGAGGUGAAAUCCCCGGGCUCAACCUGGGAACUGCCUUUGUGACUGCAAGGCUUGAGUGCGGCAGAGGGGGAUGGAAUUCCGCGUGUAGCAGUGAAAUGCGUAGAGAUGUGGAGGAACACCGAUGGCGAAGGCAGCCCCCUGGGCUAACACUGACGCUCAUGCACGAAAGCGUGGGGAGCAAACAGG